AGUGGCAGACGGGUGAGUAACAUGUGCGGUAUCUUCCCUUUGGCCUGGAAUAACACGAGGAAACUUGUGCUAAUACUGGAUAAGUCUUUACGGAGAAAGCUUUAUGCACCAUUGGAUGAGCCUGCACUUGAUUAGUUUGUUGGUGGGGUAAUGGCCUACCAAGACUUUGAUCAAUAGCUGAUUUGAGAGGAUGAUCAGCCACAUUGGGACUGAGACACGGCCCAAACUCCUACGGGAGGCAGCAGUGGGGAAUCUUGCACAAUGGAGGAAACUCUAAUGCAGCGAUGCCGCGUGAGUGAAGAAGGCCUUUGGGUUGUAAAGCUCUUUCGUCGGGGAAGAAAAUGACUGUACCCGAAUAAGAAGGUCCGGCUAACUUCGUGCCAGCAGCCGCGGUAAUACGAAGGGACCUAGCGUAGUUCGGAAUUACUGGGCUUAAAGAGUUCGUAGGUGGUUGAAAAAGUUGGUGGUGAAAUCCCAGAGCUUAACUCUGGAACUGCCAUCAAAACUUUUCAGCUAGAGUUUGAUAGAGGAAGGCAGAAUUUCUAGUGUAGAGGUGAAAUUCUUAGAUAUUAUAAAGAAUACCAAUUGCGAAGGCAGCUUUCUGGUUC
rnacentral:rRNA from 1 species